rnacentral:rRNA from 1 species
AUUGAACGCUGGCGGCAUGCCUUACACAUGCAAGUCGAACGGCAGCACGGGGGCAACCCUGGUGGCGAGUGGCGAACGGGUGAGUAAUACAUCGGAAUGUACCCAGUAGUGGGGGAUAACUAGUCGAAAGAUUAGCUAAUACCGCAUACGCACUAUGGUGGAAAGCGGGGGAUCGCAAGACCUCGCGCUAUUGGAGCAGCCGAUGUCCGAUUAGGUAGUUGGUGGGGUAAAGGCCUACCAAGCCUGCGAUCGGUAACUGGUCUGAGAGGACGACCAGUCACACUGGGACUGAGACACGGCCCAGACUCCUACGGGAGGCAGCAGUGGGGAAUUUUGGACAAUGGGGGAAACCCUGAUCCAGCAAUGCCGCGUGUGUGACGAAGGCCUUCGGGUUGUAAAGCACUUUUGGCGGGAACGAAACGGCGCUUUCUAAUACAGAGCGCUAAUGACGGUACCCGCAGAAUAAGCACCGGCUAACUACGUGCCAGCAGCCGCGGUAAGACG